rnacentral:rRNA from 1 species
UAGCUAGUUGGUGGGGUAAAGGCCUACCAAGGCUGUGAUCGGUAGCUGGUCUGAGAGGACGGACAGCCACACUGGGACUGAGACACGGCCCAGACUCCUACGGGAGGCAGCAGUGGGGAAUAUUGGACAAUGGGGGCAACCCUGAUCCAGCGAUGCCGCGUGUGUGAAGAAGGCCUGAGGGUUGUAAAGCACUUUCAGCGGGGAGGAGGAUUGGUAGGUUAAGAGCUAACUGAUUGGACGUUACCCGCAGAAGAAGCACCGGCUAACUCCGUGCCAGCAGCCGCGGUAAUACGGAGGGUGCGAGCGUUAAUCGGAAUUACUGGGCGUAAAGGGUGCGUAGGUGGUUAAUUAAGUUAUGUGGUAAAGACCAGGGCUUAACCCUGGGGUUACAUAUAAGGCUGGUUAACUAGAGUAUGGGAGAGGGUAGUGGAAUUUCCGGUGUAGCGGUGAAAUGCGUAGAGAUCGGAAGGAACACCGGUGGCGAAGGCGGCUACCUGGCCUGAUACUGACACUGAGGCACGAAAGCAUGGGGAGCAAACAGGGUUAGAUACCCUGGUAGUCCAUGCUGUAAACGAUGUCAACUAGCCGUUGGCCUAUUAAAAGGUAAGUGGCGC